GGAGUAGCUUAGUGGUAGAGCAUCUGCUUUGCACGCAAAAGGCCCUAGGUUUGGACCUCAGCAUCUCCA